UCCCCAUACAUCAACAUGUAGUAAUUGAAAGCUAGUAGUACACCUACUCAAACUAUGUGGAAAAGGCAUUCUAGUUUGCCUUGCAAGUGGACAUAUCUCACAAUUAUUCAAAGUAAAAGAACUAUUCUUACUAAGAUCUUGAAACAUAGGUAUCCUUUUAAGAACUUUCAUAGGAACAUGACACAGUCUUUGAUGCCAAAUAGUAGCAUCUGCCUCCUGUGAUACUGAACAACAUUUGUUAAAGCCUGCCUCCUUAUUUCCAGCUUGU
rnacentral:lncRNA from 1 species